GAGAUAACCAAAUAGUUAUUUUGGCGAUCACUAGUCUGAGAGCCCUCGCUCAACAUGGUCUCAGAACAUCUGUACAGUAGAUCACACGCUCCUAUAUAGCCUAAGAGCACUCGCUCUAAAUCACAUCACAUUAUCUAUAUAUUAGAUCAGACGCUACUAUACAGCGAGAGAGACCUCGCUCCGAAUCACAUGGAAAAUGAAAUUAUUGGAUUCCUCAACAUACUAUUAAAGUUCUACGUAUAUACGCACAAUACAAUACUAAUCCCCCACCUGUAAGCAGAGCCGAAACCUCUAAUCCUGACUUGAUGUGAUUCCCCUUGCUGCCACGACUCCAUAGCUUCUGACUGUGCAUCGUUUGGAGUCCAAAAGAUUGAGUUAGCCUAUGACUUUGCAACAAUCUGAAACUUGGCAGGAUAGAAACGUUACGCUACUCCUCCAUUGCCCUCCGUUACAUUACCUGAUCCGGAACUUCUUGACGUUGACAAAACAGACUCAUUUUCUUUAGUUUAAACCAUCCAAAAAUUCAGAGCUAUAUAAGCAAGACUUAAUAAUAACCAAAUUCAAAGACCAGUCACUUAAUCCAAGUCCUUAAUUAUAAACCAUAAAAAAGUGCAUAUAUGGUACCUCUUCUUCUUUGGUGAAGGGCUCGCAGCAGAUGACCUCCACCCUGAAUCGCGCGAGCAUAUCCAGCGAGCUCCCACAUCAUUGGACUAGCCGAUUCCAUUGCCGAUCACUCCAUCCAAACAUCGUGGCGGCCCCUAAACUCAACGACGAAUCUACCACCUCCUGCCACAGCCCGCCGACCGGAUCUCUCCUCUCAAGACCGCCAUGACCUCCUUCUCCCUUCUCUUUGUCGAUUAUCCCAUCAAGGCCGCUGCCACCUCUUGCUUCCUCCACAAUACUCAUCUCCUAAAGCUCAUCAAUCAUUAUAUCUCGAUCUGUGCUUCCCUCCACAUCAAAG
rnacentral:lncRNA from 1 species